rnacentral:rRNA from 1 species
GAUGAACGCUGGCGGCGUGCCUAAUACAUGCAAGUCGAGCGAACAGACGAGGAGCUUGCUCCUCUGACGUUAGCGGCGGACGGGUGAGUAACACGUGGAUAACCUACCUAUAAGACUGGGAUAACUUCGGGAAACCGGAGCUAAUACCGGAUAAUAUAUUGAACCGCAUGGUUCAAUAGUGAAAGACGGUUUUGCUGUCACUUCUCGAUGGAUCCGCGCCGCAUUAGCUAGUUGGUAAGGUAACGGCUUACCAAGGCGACGAUGCGUAGCCGACCUGAGAGGGUGAUCGGCCACACUGGAAGUGAGACACGGUCCAGACUCCUACGGGAGGCAGCAGUAGGGAAUCUUCCGCAAUGGGCGAAAGCCUGACGGAGCAACGCCGCGUGAGUGAUGAAGGUCUUCGGAUCGUAAAACUCUGUUAUUAGGGAAGAACAAAUGUGUAAGUAACUAUGCACGUCUUGACGGUACCUAAUCAGAAAGCCACGGCUAACUACGUG